rnacentral:misc_RNA from 1 species
AUGCAACAAUUUGUGUUACAAGUUCCAUUAGAUCAUCAAUUGACGUUUCCUCACCCUGUCGUUUUGCAUAUUCUUCAGCACAUUCUCCAGCCAAGUUCCUGACAUAUUCAUGGCCCCAUGAACCAAUAUCACCUUCUGAUCCCAACAAUCGGUACUUUAAGCUCUCCCGUUCUCCCUCAGCAGACAUGGUCAAUGCCAAAACUGACAGUAUAUCUGCCAAGUAUUUCUUCAAAUCUGAGUCAGCCAUUGUUUCAUAAUAUGACUUUAGAGUUCCAUAAUGUGGUCGAAGAAAUUUC